rnacentral:tRNA from 1 species
GCCUCAGUAGCGCAGUAGGUAGCGCGUCAGUCUCAUAAUCUGAAGGUUGUGAGUUCGAUCCUCACCUGGGGCA